rnacentral:tRNA from 7 species
GCUGAAAGUGCCUUAACGUCGCAUUCGUAAUGCGAAGGUCGUAGGUUCGACUCCUAUUAUCGGCACCA